ensembl:lncRNA
GGUGCCCGCCUUGCUUCGCAGCCAUCGAAACCUCGGCGGAGCUGGCGCGCGCCGGGGACGGGCGAGGGGCGCCGCCAAGCAGCGAUGCCGACCACGGGCGCCAGGGCAGAAGCCGGGCCCCGGGUCUCAGCCCCGGGUCUUGGCCGGGAAGGGUCUGCGGAGGGCGUUCCGGGGGGCGGGGCCAGGGUGCAGCUAGCCCGCGCCCUGCAGGGGGCGAUCCAGGCACGGCGUAGACCCGUCCUCGCGGGUCCGGAAGGGGAAGAAGCGAGGCCAGGGGUCCGGCGGCCCGGCGAGCGGACGUGCGCGCGCGCCUGCGCGCCUGCGCGCUCUGCGGGCCGCGGUCCCGCGGCUAUUGGGUCACCAGCGUUACCCCGGCAGCUCCCCCACUUGACCAGGCACCCGGAUCUUCCUACGCCAGGCCCCGCGGGACUCCUCCUGACUCCCAAAUCAGGAUUCUCCCAGCUGAAAGCCUAUCUGUUCCAAUGUCACCCUGGUGCCACCUCUAGGACCACAUUUCAGCUCCUUCUGGGACCCCUCUGUGCCUGAAGGCCCAUGCAGUCCAUCAGCAGAAUCACGGCCCCUUCCCCUGGCUCCCUGACUCGUCUCCUUCUGAACACCCUGCACGUGUAACCAGCAACUAGUUCUGCAGUCAGCCGUCCAGUCACCACCCAGCCCGUCCAGAACCUUCAAGGAUUCCCGAGAGCCUAUCCAGGUUCAGACUCCAUCUCCAUUCCCAUUUUUGUGCUGCAGUCACUAGGUGCCCCUGGACUCUGGGUUGGCUUUAGCCUGGCAUUCAGGGCCUCCCAGGCCUGCUUCCUUCCCACAAUACUGCUGCCAACCUGAGCCACUCCUGACCGCUGGACCCUUCCCUGCAUCAGAAAUGUCCUCCCCACCUCGUCCACCCCAGUGCUGGAGGCCCAGCUCAAAAGCCAUUUCCUUCGGGACUCCUUGGGGCCCUGAGUCCUUGCCAGCAGAGCCCUGCAUGGAAAGGGCAGCAGCGACAUCACCCAUGGGGGCCUAGACAGCAGAGGUGUGCGGAGAAAGUUGAACAUUGCCUCUGGGUAUGUGAAGCCUGGUGCUGGGGGAUUGCUCAGGCUUCAGGGACCUCUACUGGAGGCUGAGCUGCAAGGCCAGGGGUUAGGCUGAAGCCAGAGGCUGAGGCCGGAGGCUGCGUGUGUGGCCCCCAGGGCAGAGGUGUUCAUCUGUCCACAGCAGUGCCCUCAGUGUGGGCCCCAGCGGGCUAGAUGCCCGGCCAGUCCAAACGGGACACUAAGCACCAACCUGCAGGCACCUCCUCCUGCUUCCCAGGCAGUGGGCAGAAGACUCCCUUCUGGUC